AGUACAAUUGCUGGGUCAUAUGGUGAGAGUACGUUUAGCUUUGUAAGAAACUGCCAGAUUAUCCUCCAAAGUGGCUGUACCAUUUUGCAUUCCUACCAGCAAU
rnacentral:pre_miRNA from 1 species